AAACAAUCCUAGAUUACACCCACUCCCAUAUUUCUUAUACUGAAUAGUGUGUGUGUGUUGUUUAGUUUCUCUUCCCUAAAAGCCUCCCUUUUGACCCCUACCUACCCACACUAAAGAUGUAGUUUCCAGCUCGUUGGAAGGAAGGCCUCCCUCCGAUGUUAUCUCUGCUCCUUCACAUCACACUGGAAGAGGUCGAUUAAAAAACACCUGAAGCCAGUCACCUAAAACCAUCUUGGCCUCAUCCCAAGGGCUGUGACAACAGGCCGCCUCCUGGAGACCUGAAACAGUACUGAUAUGGUACGAGCCCCUUGGGGCCACCUCCUCUGAGGGCAGUAGGUAGAGGGUGGCUGCGGGUGGGGAACAUAUGAACCUCUAAGUAGGGCACCUGCUGGCCAACUGGGCCCCUGUAUCACUUUCCACACACAUUCAAAAGCCCUUCUUGUUCCUUGCCCCUUAUUCCCCUCUCACUUCAGGUAGCCCUGGCCCAGAGAGCUGCUGCAGAGGUGCCCCCUCUGGGCUGGCAUCAGGCCUAUCCCGCCUGGCGCCUCUGGCCCUGCAGAGCUGUGCAACCGGCGGCCGCGGCCCCCAUGCCGAGACCACAUUCCGACCUCCGUGUGGAAGUCAGCCACUCCAGAAGGCUCUGUUUCUAAAACUGUCCAUCCCAGAAGAACUGCAGAUAGAUGAAGAUGCAUUUCAUCAACCCAGAUAUAGACUACCACAACAAAAGCCAUUAGCGGCCAUCAACUUCCAGCUCUCCUACAGAUGAUUACAUUGGGGUCAUCUCUUUCACACAGAAAACCCUGCCUUGAGUGGAGGAAAAACAUUUUUUGAGUUAAAGAUCAUCUUUCAAAACCAAGGGCCACCAGAUUAUUGGAAAGGUCAAAAAAGAUAACAUAUGAAACUGCUUUGUAAACUGUAAGAGUAUUCAGAUGUGUGGUAGACUGGGGAUAAGUACAGUACGAUAUGUGAAGGGCUAGAUCACACAUUUUUUAAUAGGUAGCAAAUAAAUCCAGUGGCUCAAAAAAGAUUGAAAAUAGC
rnacentral:lncRNA from 12 species